UUCCGGUUGAUCCUGCCGGACCUGACUGCUAUCGGAUUGGUACUAAGCCAUGCGAGUCAUUGUACAAUACAAGGCGGACGGCUCAGUAACACGUAGUCAACCUAACUCGUGGACGUGGAUAACCUCGGGAAACUGAGAAUAAACCACGAUAGAUCAUAGUGCCUGGAAUGGCUUAUGGUCCAAACAGUUUACUGCCAUGGGAUGGGACUGCGGCCUAUCAGCUUGUUGGUGAGGUAAUGGCCCACCAAGGCGAUUACAGGUACGGGCUCUGAGAGGAGAAGCCCGGAGAUGGGUACUGAGACACGGACCCAGGCCCUAUGGGGCGCAGCAGGCGAGAAACCUUAGCAAUGUGCGAAAGCACGACUGGGUCAGUCCGAGUGAUUCCUGAUAAAGGAGUCUUUUGCUUGUCCUAAAAGCACAGGUGAAUAAGGGGUGGGCAAGUCUGGUGUCAGCCGCCGCGGUAAUACCAGCACCUCGAGUGGUCAGGACGUUUAUUGGGCCUAAAGCAUCCGUAGCCGGCUCUGCAAGUCUUCGGUUAAAUCCACCUGCUCAACAGAUGGGCUGCUGGAGAUACUACAGAGCUAGGGAGUGGGAGAGGCAGACGGUAUUCAGUGGGUAGGGGUAAAAUCCUCUGAUCCAUUGAGGACC
rnacentral:rRNA from 1 species